UAGCCGUAAACGAUACUCGCUAGGUGUCGGCCACGGUGCGACCGUUGUCGGUGCCGUAGGGAAGCCGUGAAGCGAGCCGCCUGGGAAGUACGGCCGCAAGGCUGAAACUUAAAGGAAUUGGCGGGGGAGCACAACAACGGGUGGAGCUUGCGGUUUAAUUGGAUUCAACGCCGGAAAUCUUACCGGGACCGACAGCAACAUGAAGGCCAAGCUGAAGACUUUGCCGGAUUAGCUGAGAGGUGGUGCAUGGCGUAGUCGUGU
rnacentral:rRNA from 1 species